GAUGAAUCAAGUUUUAGCAAUAUCCUUCAGCAUACAGAUUUAACAGUGACAUCUGAAGAGAGAGUUCUCAAUGCCAUCUUGCUUUGGUGCUUACAAGCAAGAGAACUGUAUGGAUGGGAAGCAGUAAACGAAUUGAUGGUAAAUUCAACACCUGAGAUGCUUUUUGGAGAGAGACUUGAGUCUCUAAAUGAAUUUCUGCAUCUUGUGCGGUUCCCUUUACUUUCACCUGAUUUGCUGAAUAAGUUUGAACAGAGUAGCCUUAGCCAGCAAAUUCCCACUUUUGACCAUCUGGUUAAAGAGGCAUUAAGAUUUCUGGAAUUUGAGAUCACCGAUUUUCAAGGCAACCAGAGAUUUCAGCAUAGAAAAUCAAGUUUUAAGGAGCUGCUCUACAUAUGCGAUGGAGAUAGCAACGGGGUCCUUUAUUUUGCUGGCACAUCAUAUGGGAAACACCAGUGGGUAAAUCCUGUUUUGUCCAAGAGAGUAAUUAUCACGGCUAGUAGCCCCAUUUCAAGAUGCACUGAUCCCAAGGUGUUGGUGUCAAGGAACUUCCAGGGUACAUCUGUUGCUGGACCUCAGAUGGAGGGGGGAAGAAACACUUCGUGGUGGAUGGUUGAUAUUGGUCCGGAUCACCAGCUCAUGUGUAACUACUACACAUUGAGACAGGAUGGAUCAAGAGCAUUUAUCAGACGUUGGAACCUUCAGGGCUCUUUGGAUGGGAAAAGCUGGACAAAUCUGAGAGUACAUGAGAAUGAUCAAACUAUUUGCAAGCCAGGUCAAUUUGCAUCAUGGCCAGUUACUGGUUCAAAUGCAUUACUUCCUUUCAGAUUCUUUCGAGUUCUCAUGACCGGUCCUACUACAGACGAUACUAACCCCUGGAACUGUUGCAUCUGCUUCUUAGAACUCUAUGGCUAUUUUCGUUAGCUCGGUGUUGGUUUGAACAUUAGUUUUAUUUUUCUUCAUGAAACCCUUCAUUUACAGUCAAAAUGUUGUAUGGUUUUCGUAUUUCUCAAUGAUGUUUACAGUGUAGUGUUGUCAUCUCUACUCUUGCCUGUUACAUAUUUUUGAGUUUAUGAUCAUGUUUAAUAUCAGAAUAUGAAUUCAACA
rnacentral:misc_RNA from 1 species